CUCCGGCACCCUGACCCAGCCGCUCUGUUCGGCUCUGGCUCCAGGCCUGGCCAGUGGCCUCAGCUCCCUGUCCUACCGCAACAGGAUUGGCCCCGUGCUCAGUAGUACAGUUCCUGAUGCAUGGGCUGUGGCACAGGGACAAAGGGCAGGGUGCUCAGAGAGAGAGAGCAGCCUGGCCUUGAAACCACAGGCAGAUUUGGGCGACAGGCCUCAGAUGCCCAGGCUGGCCAGGAGCACCCUCUUCCCUCCAGGCCUGCCAGCCACCGAUCAACCCUCUGGGUGUUUCCAGUGUGCUCUGGAGCCUUACAGCACGUGGCCCUUCACCCAGCAGUGUGCACUGCCAUGUGUGCUCACUGCUGCAGCUGGAGGAAAAGGUUUCCAAGAUGGAGGAGCCACAUGAUGGGAGGAGCACAGGUUGCAGAGUUGUCACUUACAGGAAGGACACUCAAAAGCACAUCUAAUCCAGACCACAUGUUCAUGAGUGUUUUUGCCCCAGCAAUGGAAAGGUGACUGCUAUACUAUUCCAGGACCCACUUUGGACAUACUGAAUGGUGGUCAAGGGACUGGAAUUUUGUCAUCGGUAGCUGUGCCUGCUUUGUGGGUGAGUCUGAUGGAAUCUGAAGGGGAAGCACUUCCCUCUGAUCAUGAUGUUGGCGUGGUUGUUCUGGGCUCAUUGCAGGGCCCGUGGCUGCCACCUAAGGAAUCCUUGACUGUGGCAAGUAAGACUUUCAGUGCACUGGAAAGACAAGUUGUUUGUAGGAAAGAAGGCUGCUUCUGCCCUUAAAAACUUCAGUGGAGUUUGGUCAAUGCCCUUUGCAGGAAUGGGGCACUGAGUCUUACAGAAGAGCCUUGUCACAACCUGCAGGUUUGUUCACUUUGUUCAGUGACAAGGGGCUGCUGCGGGGAGAGGGAGGAGGCAGACGGUGACCUCGCCCCUCUGUACACAGAGGGGUGUUCAGACCUGAGCCUCUGAGCUGCUAGCUGAUGCUUUCUGGACCCAGGACUCUGCUCAGGCUAAGACCCUAGAGAGUGCUAGUUGAGGAGACAAUGGCCACCAGGCAUUUAUCUCAUGAGGCAUCUCUCAAAAUUGUCAAAACACGGCCACUAAGUGUGAUUCUGCAGUAGCACAAUGCCAAGAGAAAUUUGGAUUAAAACACUUCCCCCAAAUGCUCAGAUAUUUGAAAAUUGGUAAAGACUGAAUAGCCUGAUAGAUUUCUCCACUUUUACUUUUUAAGUGAAUUAUAUAAUGUCUAUCACAUGAAGAGUUAGUGAAUCCUAGAACUUAGAUUUUUAUGGCUUACAGACAACAGACUCUUAAGUCAAUAAACAAAAUAACAGAUUGAAGAAGAUUCCUUCUCAGGAUCUUGUUUAGCUCUGGCCCUACCAGCUACUUUUGAUUCCCCCCUGCCUGGCCCCUCAAAACAGGAAGCAAAAAGAGGAUCUGGCCUGUCCUGGGGCAGUAAUCGAGGAUGGGAAGGUGGAUUCUGUAGACAUCCAGGAAGUAGGAAUAUCUGUUUCCAACCUGUGAUAGCCCCAGUAUCGGACAGAAUACUCAUCUCACCCUCUGGUGACAGGAGACACCGUAGGCUACAUUGGGGAGGGUGGAUAAUGUCGUGGAAGAGUUACAGAGACUGGGCAAGAAAUUGUUAAUUUUUGCUAAUGUCCUAAUUCUUUCUAGAAUGAAAGACCACAGUUUCCU
rnacentral:lncRNA from 1 species